AAAAAUUAUUUUUAUUGUUCUUCAAAAUGUCUCCCUUUGGGCGAACUGAAAGCUGUAGUGCUUACAGGGAACUGGAGUGAAAGGGAAGGGGCUGGCUCCGCCUGUGCCCUGGGGCCUCCCCUACCCCCUCCAGCUCGGGAUGCUAAGCUGGCUUGGGACCCUGGAGACAGACCACUGGGCUCUUCUCCUUCCGGACAACAUGACUGGGGCAACCAACCAGUGAAGCCCCGUGAGAUGCCGCAAGAUUUAUGAUGCGUGCCUCUAGCCGUGUCCACGAACACACAUGUGUCCCAGGAUGCCGGGCUCGGCUGCUGAGGUGACUGUCCCCGGGCGGAUUUGCCAUCUUCUCAGGCACCUCUCUCCAGGGAGGGCCUUGCCUGGGUGCCACCCUCCUCCCAAGCACGCACUCAGGGCUGUGUGGUCCCCGCUCCCCACCAGCCCUCCAGUUCCCCACCGGAGAGGCCUGUCGUGCUGUUAGCCUGGGAAUAAGGAGGCGGGCCGAGGGGUCUCGCCAGCCCUGGUUUCUCCUCCCCCUGCCUGGCCCUCACUGGUGGCCACCUACCUUCACAGCCCACCCCCACCCCCCGCCUCCUACCGGCCCCUCAGGGGCCACCUCUCAGCUGCCUCCAUCUCACACACGCACCCAAACAACAUGCCGACUGGGCCAGCCCAAGCCUGCCCUGGCUCCCUCACAACGUGGUCACUCUGGAAUCCCCAGAGGGUGUCUGUCCCCAAGGGACUCGAUGCAGUGACAUGGCACCAUCCCAUACAGAGGACACCCAGCCUACCGGCAGGCAGGUGAACAGGAACAGUGCCUGAGCUCGGGGACAGUGCCAGGGUGUGCCCACAAGCAUGUGCUGGGCUGGGUGGGCCUUCUCUCUGCAGAGGGCAGGCCAGGCUGAGUUGGCCCCACAGGAGGAGAUCCCGGCAAGCCCCGAGCUCCAAGAGGGAACAGGGGAGCCAUGAGCCUGGGAGGGCAGAGUGGCCGCCAGCAGCUGGGUUCGUGAGGCUCAAACUCAACCCUCAGCUCCUUCUCUCCAUUUCUCAGGUCCCACCUCUAGGGCCAGGAGCGAGCGGAGCCCCCAAAGAGAGGCCGGGUCUGCCCUGCCCACUGAGCCUGCAGGGCCCAGGCAAUGGGGGUCAGGCUGGCCAGGGCUGGCGGAGCAUGGAGGGGCCCGGCCAGGGGUGAAGGAAAUACAGUUCUUUGGUACUGAAGCAAUGAAAAGCUAUCUCAGAGAAGCCUGGGCUCCCAAGCAGGGGAGCCGAGCUCUCUUUCCUGGAAGCUCUGAAGGUCCCAGGAUCCUGGGCAGGGCUCCUUCGCCGGUGAGGCCCACAAGGGACCUGCUCAGGGCAGCC
rnacentral:lncRNA from 1 species